rnacentral:lncRNA from 1 species
GCGCGGGGAGAAAGACCCGGAGUCCGGAAGGAGAAGAACUCGGGAGAGGGGCCGCGCGGGGAGAAAGACCCGGAGUCCGGAAGGAGAAGAACUCGGGAGAGGGGCCGCGCGGGGAGAAAGACCCGGAGUCCGGAAGGAGAACAACUCGGGAGAGGGGCCGCGCGGGGAGAAAGACCCGGAGUCCGGAAGGAGAACAACUCGGGAGAGGGGCCGCGCGGGGAGAAAGACCCGGAGUCCGGAGCGAGAAGAGCUCGGGAGAGGGGCCGCGCGGGGAGAAAGACCCGGAGUCCGGAAGGAGAACAACUCGGGAGAGGGGCCGCGCGGGGAGAAAGACCCGGAGUCCGGAAGGAGAAGAACUCGGGAGAGGGGCCGCGCGGGGAGAAAGACCCGGAGUCCGGAGCAAGAAGAGCUCGGGAGAGGGGCCGCGCGGGGAGAAAGACCCGGAGUCCGGAGCAAGAAGAGCUCGGGAGAGGGGCCGCGAGGGGAGAAAGACCCGGAGUCCGGAAGGAGAAG